UACGGAGGGUGCAAGCGUUAUCCGGAUUCACUGGGCUUAAAGGGUGCGUAGGUGGGCAGGUAAGUCAGUGGUGAAAUCUCUGGGCUUAACCCGGAAACUGCCGUUGAUACUAUUUGUCUUGAAUAUAGUGGAGGUGAGCGGAAUAUGUCAUGUAGCGGUGAAAUGCCUAGAUAUGACAUAGAACAUCGAUUGCGAAGGCAGCUCGCUACACUAUUAUUGACACUGAGGCACGAAAGCGUGGGGAUCAAACAGG
rnacentral:rRNA from 1 species